rnacentral:rRNA from 1 species
GACAGAGGUGCCGAGCGUUAGGCGGAAUCACUGGGCUUAAAGCGUGUGUAGGUGGAUGCCUAAGUACCUUGUGAAAUCCCACGGCUUAACCGUGGAACUGCUUGGUAUACUGGGUGUCUUGAGCCAGCUAGGGGGCUACCGGAACAAAUGGUGGAGCGGUGAAAUGCGUAGAUAUCAUUUGGAACGCCAAUGGUGAAAACAGGUAGCUGGGGCUGUGCUGACACUGAGACACGAAAGCCAGGGGAGCGAACGGG